CUGGCUCAGGAUGAACGCUAGCUACAGGCUUAACACAUGCAAGUCGAGGGGCAGCAUGAAGUUUGCUUGCAAACUUUGAUGGCGACCGGCGCACGGGUGAGUAACGCGUAUCCAACCUUCCCCUUAGUAGGGCAUAGCCCGAUGAAAAUCGGAUUAAUACCCUAUGUUGUCUUAUGAGGACAUCUGAGCAGGACCAAAGGUUUACCGCUAAGGGAUGGGGAUGCGUCCGAUUAGGUAGUCGGCGGGGUAACGGCCCACCGAGCCAUCGAUCGGUAGGGGUUCUGAGAGGAAGGUCCCCCACAUUGGAACUGAGACACGGUCCAAACUCCUACGGGAGGCAGCAGUGAGGAAUAUUGGUCAAUGGGCGAGAGCCUGAACCAGCCAAGUAGCGUGCCAGGAUGACGGCCCUAUGGGUUGUAAACUGCUUUUAUGCGGGGAUAAAGUGCGCCACGUGUGGCGUUUUGUAGGUACCGCAUGAAUAAGGACCGGCUAAUUCCGUGCCAGCCGCCGC
rnacentral:rRNA from 1 species